UAAAAUAAUAUUAGUUUAAUUGUAUGAGAAGACAUUGAGAAGGCAGAAAAAGAAAAGAGAUGGAUGAGUAAGUAACAUUGGAGAACAACAGAAGCCAUGUGGAAACCCACUUCUUCAGAAGGAGAAGCAGAGGCACCAAAGGCACCACCCAACAACCUGAUCCCGUCCCUUCCAGACGACGUCGCUUUGAACUGCAUAGCACGCAUCCCUCGCUGCCACCACCCAAUCCUACCCCUCGUUUCCAAACCCUUCCGCACCCUCCUCUCCACCCCUCUCUUCUUCACCACGCGCUGCCUCCUCGACUGCACGCAACCCCUCCUCUACCUCACUCUCCGCACGCCCGCCUCCUCCCUCCAGUGGUUCACGCUCCACCGCACACUCCCUAGCCCCCUCUUAGCGCCUCUCCCCCCAAUUCCCUCCCCCGCAGUGGGCUCCGCCUACGCCGUCCUUGGCUCCACCAUCUACGUCCUCGGCGGCUCCAUCAACGAUGUCCCCUCCCCCCACGUCUGGCUCCUUGACUGCCGCUUCCACCGCUGGCUUCCGGGUCCAAGCAUGCGUGUCGCUAGGGAGUUCGCCGCCGCGGGGGUCCUCGGUGGAAAGAUUUACGUCCUCGGUGGCUGCAUCGCUGACACGUGGGCCCGCUCCGCCAACUGGGCGGAGGUCCUGGACCCCGACGUUGGGCGCUGGGAGAGGGUGGCCAGUCCCCCCGAGGUCCGGGAGAAGUGGAUGCACGCCAGCGCGGUCCUCGGCGACAAGGUGUACGCGAUGGCGGACCGCGGCGGCGUCGCGUACGAGCCGCGCAGCGGAUCUUGGGAGAGCGUAGGGGGAGAAUUGGAUCUCGGGUGGAGAGGUAGGGCGUGCGUGGUGGAGGGUAUUUUGUACUGCUACGACUAUUUGGGGAAAAUCAAAGGGUUCGAUGUGGGGCGCGGUGUGUGGGAAGAGUUGCAGGGGUUGGAGAAGGGCUUGCCUAGGUUUCUUUGUGGGGCCACCAUGGCUGAUUUGGGUGGGAAAUUGUGUGUGGUGUGGGAGUGCCGAGAGAAUGGGAAAGAAAUGGAGAUUUGGUGCGCUGAGAUUGGAGUGCAGAAGAAUCCGGAUGGAAAACUGUGGGGUCAACUUGGUUGGUUUGGGAAAGUUCUUUCUGUUCCCAAAGGCUCCUCUGUUGUGCAUUGUUCUUCUGUUUCCUUGUGACCUUUCUCUUUGUUUGUGCCAUUGUAUGUGAAGUUCUGAAUAACUGGAGCUGCUCAACUAGCAGUGCUUCUUUUCUCCCAGGAAACUAUAAGCUGGUUUAAUUUAAACCAACCAGGUCCAAGAAUACCUACCUUCUAACAGCAUUUAUUUAGGAAAAUUUAUACUCUGGUUGUAACCCAAAUUCAUGCAUUCUCAAUAUUUUGUCCAAAAAGUUCAACAUAAUUCUUGUCAAAAUGUGCAUACACAAAUUACGCCUAAACACCAAAUAUGUUGUUGGUGUAUGCAUAAUUCUUUUUCCAAACAGAAAGAUACAGGUUAUUAGCAUGUUAUAAUUAUCAGUUAUGCAAAGUUGGAUUCUUUGCUCAAGAAUUUUGUUUGUCAAGAAGAGGGAAUUAAAAUGAAACAUUUUUCUAUCCCGCUCAUAUGAAGUUUCCGUUCCUAAGGUUUUGACUUGGUUGGGAAUGAGUAUUAUGAGAAAAAUGUGUUUAGGG